rnacentral:rRNA from 1 species
CCUACGGGGCGCAGCAGUGAGGAAUAUUGGUCAAUGGGCGUAAGCCUGAACCAGCCAAGUCGCGUGAGGGAUGAAGGUUCUAUGGAUCGUAAACCUCUUUUAUAAGGGAAUAAAGUGUGGGACGUGUCCUGUUUUGUAUGUACCUUAUGAAUAAGGAUCGGCUAACUCCGUGCCAGCAGCCGCGGUAAUACGGAGGAUCCGAGCGUUAUCCGGAUUUAUUGGGUUUAAAGGGUGCGUAGGCGGCCUUUUAAGUCAGCGGUGAAAGUCUGUGGCUCAACCAUAGAAUUGCCGUUGAAACUGGGAGGCUUGAGUAUGUUUGAGGCAGGCGGAAUGCGUGGUGUAGCGGUGAAAUGCUUAGAUAUCACGCAGAACCCCGAUUGCGAAGGCAGCCUGCCAAGCCAUGACUGACGCCGAUGCACGAAAGCGUGGGGAUCAAACAGGAUUAGAUACCCCAGUAGUC